AUGAUUAAGAAAAAAAGGCCACCUUACAUGUUUACCGGCCAUGAUCUCUGGGAAGCUGUCCGUGAUUUUCCAAAAGUCACAGAUAGUGGUUGGGCCACCAAAUUUCCAGGGUAUGGAAAACAACAUAAUUGGAUUAAAAGAAGUAUAUUUUGGGAUCUUCCAUACUGGAAGGAAAACUUGUUAAGGAACAACCUUGAUGUGAUGCACAUAGAGAAUAAUGUAUUUGAUAAUGUGUUUAACACAGUCAUGAAUGAUCCUGCAAAAACAAAGGAUAAUGAGAAGGCAAUAUUGGAUUUCUAG
rnacentral:lncRNA from 1 species